UUAGCCCUAAACACAAAUAAUUACAGAAACAAAAUUAUUCGCCAGAGUACUACCGGCAACAGCCCGAAACUCAAAGGACUUGGCGGUGCUUUAUACCCUUCUAGAGGAGCCUGUUCUAUAAUCGAUAAACCCCGAUAAACCUCACCAAUCCUUGCUAAUACAGUCUAUAUACCGCCAUCUUCAGCAAACCCUAAAAAGGAACAAAAGUAAGCUCAAUCACAACACAUAAAGACGUUAGGUCAAGGUGUAACCCAUGGAAUGGGAAGAAAUGGGCUACAUUUUCUACCUUAAGAAAAUUAAUACGAAAGCCAUUAUGAAAUUAAUGACCAAAGGAGGAUUUAGUAGUAAACUAAGAAUAGAGUGCUUAGUUGAAUUAGGCCAUGAAGCACGC
rnacentral:rRNA from 1 species